UAUCUCAUAGAACAAAUCGUAUAAAAUCUCAUAAACGUGUGUUUACCACAGACCUUAUUUUCAGAGUUUAUUCAAAGCCCUUCAAAAACGCCAUUAAUUUCCCCCAUAUUCUUUGUCAACGAACCAUGGCGGAGGUAGUGCCUUCAAAAAGACCAUUAGUAUUUAGCUCUAUAAAAAGCAUAAAAAGCAUUACCAUUAGAUUAUUCUCAAAUAGGUAUAAUAUACGAUAGGCCUAAACAAAACGUAAUCGCCAGUGGGAAUCUGAUUAACGAUCGUUACAGAACCGAAGUCACCGUGGAGGCAGGGGUGACGUCUCUAUCGAUGACUCCUGUAAUGAUCAGCUACUCUGGUCUAGGGGCGAGAAGUCAGCCGGGAGCGAGCCUUGUGGAGGGUGUGUGAAAAAUGCCUUUCUCCCGUCAGAGAAACCAGACUCGUGAUCUCUUGAAUUUAUUAUAGCUGGUUGGCCAUUGUGCAAUAGUCAGGGAGGUAUGCAAUCCAGUUUCUAGGCGAACACGGCCACUCAGAGCAAGGACUAACAACACAGCGAUUCGUCUCAGUUUUGUGCAUGGUUACAUUCCGAGUAGUGACGAUCGGUUCUAGGCGGAUCAAGUAGUGAGUGAUACGAAUCUUUUUUUGAGUUGCAUUGGAAUACGCUGCCAGCUACGGUUUUGAAAGGGAAACGAUUCGCCACAAUUGCAGACAUGGGCGCUACAACUUGAAGAUAGACUAGGCAAACUGUUGCGGAUACAAGGAAAAAUAACGAACAUAGCCUAAUUUUCUUGGUACCCACCGACAUUUUAUUGGAGCUAUCUAGCAGCUGAAGAAUACGGAAUCAAAUACACAAUUCUAACCACGGUAGAGUCAAAGACCAACAGACAGACCGAGAUACACACAGAGCAGAAGCUAAAGGGGAGAGGAAGGCUGCCUGUCAGGGUCUCGUUGAUCCCCCUCCGUUCCUCAGAUGAACCCCCUCAACUCCAUGAAACCCGGUCUGCCUCCCACUCCGCACAGGUACACACACACACUCUGAAUGACUCCGAGAGGAAGUGCUGAGUGCAUUGUCCUCAGACAAAUCGUUAGUUGUCUUCUGGUUGGCUUUCACCUCUCCCGCUAU
rnacentral:lncRNA from 1 species